ACUCUCCCUUUCCAUUCAUUCAGUAAUCCCCCAACUUUUUCCUUCUACUUCCCUGAGUAACCCCCAGUGGGUUCAUGCCCUCUCUUUUGUUUUUAAAAUCCACUUGAGUUCAGUUAGUGCUGCUGUUGGACUGUUGUUGGACUGUUGUCUGACCUAUGGACUUGAUCUUGUGCAGAUAACAUAGCUGCCGUAAGAGCAUGAGUGUGAUAGCUUGUCACGAUCAGAAGACUGCACUUCAUAGCACUUCUCCAUUCUUGCUCUUACAAGCAUCUGCCCCUCUUCCUUGUUGUGCCUUGAUUCUUUGGGAAUGGGGGUUUGUUGAUAUAAAUGUCCCAUUUAGGUCUGAACACUUAUUCUCAGCACUUUGAUUAGUUACGAGUUUCUGUAUUAACUGUUAACCACUGCAGAGAGACGCUCCUCUGGCCAAGGUUGAGGGCAAGGUUAAUCUAUGGGUAUAAACACAAAUGUUUCUAGUGCAGCUUGACAACACGCCACUUAACAAAACAACAGUAGUAGUCUUCCUCCUAGGGCCUGUAACCUCCUGAGCCAUGUGCUUCUGGGCAGAUUUGUAGUGUCAGUCUAAAUUUCUUUCUAUGGAGAGAUGUCAAAUCUACCCAUAACCUUUGUGCAACUAUUGCACCAGUGGGUACAUCUUACCUGGUUUUGUAAGAUGCAGUUGGUCACAGAAGUACCAUUUGAUGUUUUGUCUCUCCCAGCAGUCUCCAGAGCACAUUUUGGUACCAUGAAAGUUAGUCAUCAGGGAGGAAGUUUUCAGGUCAGUUCAUUGAUUUUUCUGUGUCCUACAACCAAAGGUCUUUGGCAGUAGGUUCUUAACAUCUAGUUUUGUUGAACAACCAAGAGUAAUGACAGUUGCCUGUGUCAUUUGUCGGGGCUUCCAAGAAGACUUCUUUCUUAGAUUCAACAGGAAAUAUUUAGAGUUCCAUCCAAGUAAAAGUUGUAAAACUGCAUAUUUAUUAAGAAAUUGCAUGUUUUGUGGGGAUUGCUUAUAAAUAGAAUACUAUAAAUGGAUAGUAAUAGCAUUAGCAUAUGAUUUGUUUUUAAUGUAAUACUAUUGAAUAACUUGUGACUAGUUAUCAUUAGCUGAGUAGUAAGUGACUGUGAUCCUUUUUUUUUUAAUGGCAUACUUACUGAGGUAUCUUUUACAGUAAAAUUCACAGGUUUUUAGCUAUAUCAAUCUGUUGAUUUGGAUAAAUGCAUAUAAUUAUGUAAUUAGUAUCACAAUUAACAUUUCCAUCACCUAUAAAAUUUACUGAUACCCUUUUGUAGAUGUGUAAUCUUUUAAGAAUACAGUUUUAUCUUGUAAUUUAUUUUAUCAAAGAUUUUAGUUUCAAAUAAUCCUAGGAAUGAAUUUUAAAAUAAGCCAGAUAUUAAAUUGGAGAUCACAUUUAUUGAUUUUUGGUAGCUUAAUUUGAAUCCAUCAUAAUUAACCAAGUAGUUUAAGGAAGGGACUGUGGGUGCUUGCUUUGAUGUUUCCACUUUAUCUUAUCUUAGGUCUUUCAUUCAAAAACCUUGCUAAAAUCAGGUUCUUGUCAUGAUUUUUGAGGGUUCGUAUAUGUACCCUGUGCUCUUCACUUUGCCUCCUGAGCGUGUAUCUCACUAUUCUCUUUAAUAGUCACCUGUCUCUCCUUUCCUAUAAGCCUCACUCAGGAGGCUUCCCACCACCUAACUCAGAGACUGAUAGAAUGUGUACUUGAAUAUCUUCUGAAUGUGUUUUCCCAUUCACUCAGUCUCAAAUACUUGAAAGUAGUAUUAGGCUCUUAAAUCUUUGUUCUUGAAGGAAGGAAGGAAGGAAGGAAGGAAGGAAGGAAGGAAGGAAGGAAGGAAGGAAGAAAGAAGACAAAGCCAUCACAUUUUGCCAGUGCUUCUCUCUUUCUCGGUACCAGCUUGUUACCCACCCAUCCAAGUUUAUUUUCAUAUCUACUUCCUUUUCUGGGCUUUUCUCACCUUAAACCUGGGGCUCCUUGGUUUUAACCUUUUGUUUUUCACUUUCUCUUUCUAUAGUCCUGCUAAUUCAGUUCUUUUAUACAGAAAGUUCCACAUUUCCCUGUCAUCUGCUACAGCAAAUACUACUUGUUGAGCAUAAAACCUUUUGUAAUUGAUUUUAAAGGUUUGAGUUCUGAGCAUGUAGUACACGCUGAUACAUGAUCUCUAACAUGUUUUUAAUCUACUUUUUCUGCCAUCUUUCUCUAUAUCCAUAUUUAGAGAUCUCCACGUUAUGGCUGCAUAGUCUUCUUGGACAAGGUCUUUUACCUGUCUGCCAUACACAUACACCCUCUUUAAAUUUUACUAGUGUGGUCUACUUUUCUUUUUCAUUUCUUCCUCUGCUGCAUUAAUGUAAACCAAGAGUGCUCCAUUUUAUCGUUGCUUAGAAUGUUUUAACUGCCCAGGAUGAUCAUUUGUUAUAUUGCCUAAUGUUUUCUUUUUAUUUUCAUGUAUUGACGUCUCUUGUAGAAGAUUAAAUACAUGCAAGCUGAGUUCAGGAACUAUGGUCAGCACACACUAGAAUUUCUCAUUAUUUUCCACCACUGUCUAUCCCCAACUCAGUCAGGGUUUCAUGUGCAUCACAGGUUGCUUAGAACUCUUGGUGUUCUUGCUUAUGCCUCCCAAGUGCUACAAUUACUGGCAUGAACCACCACGUGUAGCUUCCUACUGUCUUAGUGUAGUGCUUGUGCUUGAUAUUCAGAGAAACCUGGUCACUCUCACACAGAGAAUAAAUUUAUCACUUAGAAGCCAACGAAAAUGUGAAGAAUAAUGACAAGUACAUUAAAUGUUAAUAUACAUGAGCAGAACUGUUAAGGAAAACUCCCAGGAUGUUAGGGUGAACUAGGAACAAUGUAUUACAGUGCAUUCAUCACAGCUGCAUCAUGAUUAGUUGGUGGAAAUUAAUGUUGGCAGAUACAGCUAUUAUAUGACUGUUAAAAUAUUUUGUAAAAACAUUUAGCUUAAUGAAUGUUGUACUUUGAUUAAUUUAAAUUUUUUUUGCAAUAAAUUCUGUAAGUCUCAUAAUUGAGUGUAGGGCAGGGGAGAUAAUUCAGUUGGUAAGGAAAACAUGAGGGCCUAAAUUUGAUCCUCCAGAACCCAUG
ensembl:sense_intronic Gm43256 predicted gene 43256